rnacentral:rRNA from 1 species
UACGUAGGGUGCAAGCGUUGUCCGGAAUUAUUGGGCGUAAAGAGCUCGUAGGCGGUUUGUCGCGUCUGCUGUGAAAACCCGAGGCUCAACCUCGGGCCUGCAGUGGGUACGGGCAGACUAGAGUUCGGUAGGGGAGACUGGAAUUCCUGGUGUAGCGGUGAAAUGCGCAGAUAUCAGGAGGAACACCGGUGGCGAAGGCGGGUCUCUGGGCCGAAACUGACGCUGAGGAGCGAAAGCGUGGGGAGCAAACAGG